GAAAAUAUGUUAAUGUAUGGCUUCUAUUCAAAAAGGAGCUGCAUCUACAACUAAGUUAAUUAUUCACAUAGAUGAGGAAGAAAGGAUGAUCUUAUUCUUAAUAAUACUGUUCAUGAUCCAAAAAUAUUUGUUAUAUUAAUUUAUGCAAAGGCAUAAAACAUCAACAAUCACUUAAUUAUUUGUAAUUAGGAAAAAAGAAAUACCAGAAUCGCCAAAAUAUUUUAAUAGUACUAUCCUGCCUCUUCC
rnacentral:lncRNA from 1 species